CUGAGCGCACCGUAAGGUGCGCUGAUCGGCGGACAGGAGUCAGCAGAGGGCAUAGUAGGACAGGACUGUCCGAAGGCC
rfam:Serratia fonticola strain DSM 4576, complete genome.